AUAGGAAAGCUGGUUGGAAGCAGCUCAGUUCCAGUCAAAACGGUGUCCUCAGUUUAAAGUUGACAAAUAGUGCUGCAUGAAGCUUAGAAACUGAGAGGUUACCUUGACAGACAAGGAGCACAAUUAUCACAAUAUGAUGAAAGAGCUUCCAUGAGUAUGUAUUGCACCGUUAAUUACUGUCCUUUUUCUACAGGCUUCUAAUGUGAGGAAAAACACGGAAUGACAAGUGUGGGAAAGAGCAAGCACUAAAUUACUGUCAGAAAAAUAAACGGAGUAGCACAGUGGUGCUCAGUGAUUUACGGGGGCAAUUAGUCACCACCCCACGGCGCUGCUGAGGACAGCACGGCAGCAGACGAGUCAGGUCCACGAGGAAGAAGAGGCUUUGCACUGCUCUCCAGACAACUUUUCGAAGAACAAGAGAGGAUAUUUGAGCACAUUAGGUUGCCUGUCUUCAUUCUGGCUCCCUGCUGCCUCCAGAUUUCCUGAUGACCUCCAAUCAGUACCCCUAAUCUCUCUGGUACCUGGGAUACGAAUGGAGAAGAGGGCUGAGAAACGCAUCCUCUGAACUGGGGAAGUGUAUCUGGUGUGUAAAGAAAGACUGUCCAACUCUUGUAUUUAGAAGAUUUGCAGCAGUGGAAAGGAG
rnacentral:lncRNA from 1 species